rfam:Termitomyces sp. J132 unplaced genomic scaffold scaffold112, whole genome shotgun sequence.
GGGGGUAUAGCUCAGCUGGGAGAGCAGCAGACUGAAGAAUGUUUGGUUUCUGAAGGUCCCGCGUUCGAUCCGCGGUACCCCCA